CAAUAGCGUAUAUUAAAGUUGUUGCGGUUAAAAAGCUCGUAGUUGGAUUUCUGUUGAGGGUGACCGGUCCGCUCUUUGAGCGCGCAUCUGGUUCAGCCUCGGCAUCCUCUUGGGGAACGUUCUUGUGCUUGAUUGCAUGGGGCGGUAUUCAAGACUUUUACUUUGAGGAAAUUAGAGUGUUCACUGCAAGCGUUAGCAAUUGAAUACAUUAGCAUGGAAUAAUAAUAUAGGACCUUGGUACUAUUUUGUUGGUUUCUAGAACUAAGGUAAUGGUUAAUAGGGACAAUUGGGGGCGAUUCGUAUUAACGCGUCAGAGGUGGAAUUCUUAGAUUGCGUUACGACGAACUACUGCGAAAGACAUUUGUCCAAGGAUGUUUUCUAUUGAUCAAGAACGAAAGUAUGGGGAUCAAAGACGA
rnacentral:rRNA from 1 species